AUUCAGCUGACGAGUCCCAAACAGAACUGAAGGCGCGUCCUGGAU
rfam:Schistosoma curassoni strain Dakar, Senegal genome assembly, scaffold: SCTD_scaffold0001672